GUGGAUUAGAUACCCUAGUAGUCCACGCCCUAAACGAUGGAUACUCGACAUACGCGAUACACAGUGUGUGUCUGAGCGAAAGCAUUAAGUAUCCCACCUGGGAAGUACGACCGCAAGGUUGAAACUCAAAGGAAUUGGCGGGGGUCCGCACAAGCGGUGGAGCAUGUUGUUUAAUUCGAUGAUACGCGAGGAACCUUACCUGGGCUAGAAUGCUAAGUGACCGUGGGUGAAAGCUCAUUUUGUAGCAAUACACACGUAGUAAGGUGCUGCAUGGUUGUCGACAACU
rnacentral:rRNA from 1 species